ensembl:lncRNA
AGAAAGCCCAAUGCUUUCUGUUAGAUCAUUUUUCUCAUUUGGCUUUGAAAUCUGAGUUAGGUGAACCCUCUUUUUAAAAAGGUCAGCAUACAUGAAAAUACAUUUGUUAAAUUCCAAAAGAGAAGGGACAUUAAAUUCCAUUCCUAGCAUAAAGCCAUAUAAUAUUCUUGAAACUCAUUGCAUCAUUUGCCUCCUGCCCAUUUGGAUAAUCAUACCUAUGUUUUAUUAAUUGUGUAUUAUUUGUAAAACCAAACCCUUCCAGUAAAUACUUGCUAUAAGGCUAUCAUUUGUCAGUUUAAAAGACUUCUAAAUAUGUUAGUUUACCAUUUUGAUUUUUCCAAGGAGAUUUUAUUAUAUUGAACUAUCCAGUAUUCUUAAAACCAACCAGAGUAUGUAGAAUUGUUAAUGUUAGUGUUGUCUUUUAUUAUGUGAAGCCUCUUAAGUGAGCGUCUAAGAAAAAGCCUUAUAGAAAGAGUGCACUGGAUUUAUAAGUGUGUUUAUGUUUUUCUAAGAAUGGGAGCUUCUGUUAACUUAGUUGUUCUGAGUAAGACCGUGGAUUUGGGUGACUGACUAGAGAAUCCAGAAUGACAAGUUCAUUGACCAGGCAUUUUUACUUUUGCAUUAGAAGUUUGUUGAUUAGUUUUUAUUUUUGAAAUGCAAAUACUGAACUUUAAAAAUAUUGUUUAUUUCAUGUAUUGGUCAUUUAAAUAUUUAAUUGGGAGUGGUCAUUAUUAAUUGUUUUAGGAAAGUUUUUUUUUCUUUUACCUAUAUACAUGUAUAUAUAUAUUUUUUAUUUAGAGGUUACCAGAAGCUCUGGGUUUUUUGUUUUGUUUUGUUUCUGUUUUUUAAUCAUUUUCAGAUGUUAUCCAGAAAUCUGCAAGUGUACUUUUCCUGUUUUAACUCCUUCCUUUUAUCACCUGACUAUCAGGGAAGCGAGGUUGAGGCUGCCCUGACCUGACAUGUCAUGAUGUCGACUUGCUAGGUGGGGUUCGCUGGGGACGAUAACCAGUGGAAUUAUUGAAAGUACAGUAACAUCUUGAUCAACCUGUUAAUAAGGAAG